AUCAUUGCCCUUUUAUUCCAGGAGAGCAUGUCUUCUUACUUUGUAUUUGUUAAUAUUCAAGGUGAGUCCUAAGAAUGUCGAGAUGAAAUCAAUGCAACUUCAAUGGAGUCACGUGUCACCUCGGAUGAAAGACUUGAAUAAAAUGUCUAGCUUAUGUCAUUUCUACAUUGGCUUAUGAUCAAUCAGUUUCUAUGGUGGAUAAGAGAGUAAAAAUCUCUAGUAUCUCAUUUAUUCAACUUUGGAGAUCAGGAGGUGUUCUGCUUAUAUAUCUUUGCUAGAGAAGGCUUGCUGGAUCUGAUAAGUUCAAGUCCUUACCAAAUCAACUAAACGGUCUCACAUCUCUUAAAAAGGAAAAAAAAGAGAAGGCAGGGCAAGAAAUCUCUUAAAGCAAAUGGAUGAGAUUUAAAAACAUUACAUCACUUCGGAAAUUUGUGAUCUGGCUGCAAGGUUGGAAAAUUAAGUUCACUAACACCAACAUGGCUAGAGAUUUGGAGAAAACCUGAAGAGGGUUAAAGCCACAAACCACUAGAUCAUUGCUUCACAAACUUGGGCCUCAUCGUGGUGCCAUGGCACCAUGAACUUAUUGAGAUGAUAAGAGGAAUGUGAAACCUGAAGAAUUGCCGUGGCAGGGCAGCAAUAUAAGCAAAGGAAUUGAGACAGUUUCUUCAUCUAAAGCAUAUUAAUGUUUUCACCACCACUAGCUUCUUCAAUUAUACGGGUGAAGAGUGAGUGUUGUGAAUCGUGAGGACUUCGCUUUUUGGCAUUUGUGUGUAUAAAAGCGGGAGAGUGUUAAAGAAAGUGAGAGAUGGGUGUACGAGGGUUUUGGGUUCGGGUUUGGGUUUGGGUUUAA